ACCGGGACCCUCUUUAAAAAGGGGAUCGCGAAAAUCCUCCCCCUUUUACAAGGGAUUCCCCUAGUAACGGCGAGUGAAGAGGGAAGAGCUCAAAUUUGAAAGCUGGUACCUCCGGUAUCCGCGUUGUAACCUCGAGACACGUUKUSSUYGCGSYGCUAUGGGACAAGUUCCUUGGAACAGGACAUCGUAGAGGGUGAAAAUCCCGUACUUGCCAYGGAUGUACCGUGCUUUGCGAUACGUGCUCUWAGAGUCGAGUUGUUUGGGAUUGCAGCUCAAAAUGGGUGGUAGACUCCAUCUAAAGCUAAAUAUCGGGGAGAGACCGAUAGCGAACAAGUACCGUGAGGGAAAGAUGAAAAGCACUUUGGAAAGAGAGUUAAAAGUACGUGAAAUUGUCGAAAGGGAAGCGCUUGAAGUCAGCCAUGCCGCUCAGGACUCAGCCUGGCUUUUGCUUGGUGUAUUUCCUGGGUAGCAAGUCAGCAUUGGUUUGGAUCGUCGGAGAAGCAUAGUCGGAAUGUGGCGYSCUCSRKCGKGYYRYWGCYKUCUAUUGGAUACGACGAUCUAGACCAAGGAACGCAGCGCGCCUUAUGGCGGGUCUUCGGACACCUUCGCGCUUAGGAUGUUGGCCGUAAUCAGGGGAAGGGCUGGGGGGCCCCCCUUGUAA
rnacentral:rRNA from 1 species